GACGAACGCUGGCGGCGGGCUUAACACAUGCAAGUCGAACGGAAAGGCCCUGCUUUUGUGGGGUGCUCGAGUGGCGAACGGGUGAGGAACACGUGAGUAACCUGCCCUUGACUUUGGGAUAACUUCAGGAAACUGGGGCUAAUACCGGAUAGGAGCUCCUGCUGCAUGGUGGGGGUUGGAAAGUUUCGGCGGGUGGGGAUGGACGCGCGGCUUAUCAGCUUGUUGGUGGGGGAGUGGCUUACCAAGGCUGUGACGGGUAGCCGGCCUGAGAGGGGGACCGGCCACAUUGGGACUGAGAGACGGACCAGACUCCUACGGGAGGCAGCAGUGGGAAAUAUUGCACAAUGGGCGGAAGCCUGAUGCAGCGGCGCCGCGUGCGGGAUGACGGCCUUCGGGGUGUAAACAGCUUUCGCCUGUGACGAAGCGUGAGUGACGGUAAUGGGUAAAGAAGCACCGGCUAACUACGUG
rnacentral:rRNA from 1 species